GGGCGCGUAGCUCAGUGGGAGAGCACUUGCUCGACACGCAAGGGGUCGCUGGUUCAAUCCCAGCCGCGCCCACCA
rnacentral:tRNA from 1 species